rnacentral:lncRNA from 1 species
AGGUUACAUGCUAGCACCUGACCUCACCAUGCUGGGAUCUCAUUUGUGCUGGGGAGCCUAGUGCCAUGGCAGCAGACUCACUUUCUUCCUGAGCUCAGAGAGAGCAGCCACCAUAGCGCUCGUAGCUUUUGUCACGAAUGCUGGUGUUCCAUGGACUCCUUUGUGCAUUAGUGAAGAGAAUUUCCUGCAAGCUGACAGUCGUCCUUGUAUGGAAGCAGUUCCUCAUGGAGGAGGCCCUGACUGUCUGUACCAUGCUUGGAUCUAAUUCUCAUUUGUGGAAUGGCGUCAACAAGAAAUCUUGGGAGUGGAGACUGAAGAGAAUCAUCAUCCCAAGAGAUAUCUGCACCAGGAAAGCUUGGUGACCCAGACAUGAAGGUAUGCCUGCUGAACUACCACUCUCAACAUACUGCUGCUGCUGCUGCUAAGUCACUUCAGUCGUGUCCAACUCUGUGUGACCCCAUAGACGGCAGCCCACCAGGCUCCCCCAUCCCUGGGAUUCUCCAGGCAAGAAGACUGGAGUGCUAUAAGUUAUUAACUUUAGUAUUAAGCUUAAAAUUUAAACCUAGAGAUGGAGAUAAAUAGAAACCUGCCUAUUUUGAUGGAUUAUAAAGAGAAAGACAGAAAUCAUCAGAUUCUCAAACUAUAACUUCAAACUGAAACAGUCAAAUCACUUACAGAAGAUGUUUUAAUAUAAACUUUUUAUUCAUAAUCAUUGCAACCUGUGACUUACGCUUUUUUAUACUUUACCCAUAGAGGAAAAUUCUGUGAUUAUCAUUGACUUUAAAAAUG